UACGGGGGGGGCAAGCGUUGCUCGGAAUCACUGGGCGUAAAGGGCGCGUAGGCGGGAUGGCAAGUCGGUCGUGAAAUCUCUCGGCUCAACCGAGAAACGUCGGCCGAUACUGCCGUUCUUGAGGGAUGCAGAGGAGACUGGAAUUCCCGGUGUAGCGGUGAAAUGUGUAGAGAUCGGGAGGAACACCGGUGGCGAAGGCGGGUCUCUGGGCAUUUCCUGACGCUGAGGCGCGAAAGCGUGGGGAGCAAACGGG
rnacentral:rRNA from 1 species